rnacentral:rRNA from 1 species
UACGAAGGGUGCUAGCGUUGUUCGGAAUUACUGGGCGUAAAGGGCGCGUAGGCGGCUGUUUAAGUUAGGUGUGAAAGUCCUGGGCUCAACCUGGGGACUGCACUUAAUACUGGAUGGCUUGAAUUCGGGAGAGGAUAGCGGAAUUCCCAGUGUAGAGGUGAAAUUCGUAGAUAUUGGGAAGAACACCGAUGGCGAAGGCGGCUAUCUGGACCGACAUUGACGCUGAGGCGCGAAAGCGUGGGGAGCAAACAGG